UACGUAGGUGGCAAGCGUUGUCCGGAUUUACUGGGCGUAAAGGAUGCGUAGGCGGAUUUUUAAGUGAGAUGUGAAAUCCCUAAGCUUAACUUGGGGGCUGCAUUUCAAACUGGAAGUCUAGAGUGCGGGAGAGGAAAGUGGAAUUCCUAGUGUAGCGGUGAAAUGCGUAGAGAUUAGGAAGAACACCAGUGGCGAAGGCGACUUUCUGGACCGUAACUGACGCUGAGGCAUGAAAGCGUGGGUAGCAAACAGG
rnacentral:rRNA from 1 species